rnacentral:rRNA from 1 species
GACCAGACUCCUACGGGAGGCAGCAGUGGGGAAUAUUGCACAAUGGGGGAAACCCUGAUGCAGCAACGCCGCGUGAGUGAAGAAGUAUUUCGGUAUGUAAAGCUCUAUCAGCAGGGAAGAGAAUGACGGUACCUGACUAAGAAGCCCCGGCUAACUACGUGCCAGCAGCCGCGGUAAUACGUAGGGGGCAAGCGUUAUCCGGAUUUACUGGGUGUAAAGGGAGCGUAGACGGCUGGCCAAGUCUGAAGUGAAAGCCCGGGGCUUAACCCCGGAACGGCUUUGGAAACUGGCCGGCUGGAGUGCUGGAGAGGCAGGCGGAAUUCCUGGUGUAGCGGUGAAAUGCGUAGAUAUCAGGAGGAACACCGGUGGCGAAGGCGGCCUGCUGGACAGUAACUGACGUUGAGGCUCGAAAGCGUGGGGAGCAUACAGGAUUAGAUACCCCUGUA